AUGUCUUGGAGAUGCCCACAGGAGAAAGAGGGGCAAACUGCUUGCCCCAGAGUAUCUUCCGCUCCAGUCUUUGUUAGAAAAACUGAAACUGUGGAGGAGAUUGCUAAUGCUUGGAGUAUAACAGAACGUGGAAAUGCAACGGAGUUCGUCAUGAGAGCUUUACAGAUGCAGGAUCAGGCACAGAAGCUGGUACUAGAGUUAAGAAGAAGGCUAAUAUGGUCUCAGAUUAAUAUACGAAUUUUCUGGUGCAUAUGGAUUGAUGGAGACACAAGAGGAAGAAUAGUCAAGCCUGGUGUGCCACCUGAUUGCUGGUUUUCUUAG
rnacentral:rRNA from 1 species